UCGCCUGUUUAUCAAAAACAUGGCCUCUUGUGAAUUAUUUGAGGUCUGACCUGCCCACUGAUUUUUUUUUGAAGGGCCGCGGUAUUUUGACCGUGCAAAGGUAGCAUAAUCAUUAGUCCUUUAAUUGAGGGCUGGAAUGAAUGGUUGGACGAGGUAUUGACUGUCUCACAGCAAUUGGGAUUAGAAUUUAACGUUUGAGUGAAAAGGCUUAAAUGGGUUUAGAGGACGAGAAGACCCUAUAGAGCUUUAUAGUCUUGUCUUAAUAAUUGUUUAGUAGUUUACUUUUAUUAGGUGGGAGAUUAUUUUAUUGGGGUGAUUGGAAGAUAAUGUAAACUCUUCAUGAAUAUAGAACAUUGAUGUAUGAAUAUUUGAUCCAUUAUUAGUGAUUAUAAGAUGGAGUUACCUUAGGGAUAACAGCGUAAUCUUUUUUGAGAGUUCUUAUCGACAAGAAGGGUUGCGACCUCGAUGUUGGAUUAAGGUAAAAUUUGGGUGCAGAUGUUCAAAAUUUUAGGUCUGUUCGACCUUUGAAUCCUUACAUGAUCUGAGUUCAAACCGGAGA
rnacentral:rRNA from 1 species